GCCUAAUACAUGCAAGUCGAACGAACUCUGGUAUUGAUUGGUGCUUGCAUCAUGAUUUACAUUUGAGUGAGUGGCGAACUGGUGAGUAACACGUGGGAAACCUGCCCAGAAGCGGGGGAUAACACCUGGAAACAGAUGCUAAUACCGCAUAACAACUUGGACCGCAUGGUCCGAGCUUGAAAGAUGGCUUCGGCUAUCACUUUUGGAUGGUCCCGCGGCGUAUUAGCUAGAUGGUGGGGUAACGGCUCACCAUGGCAAUGAUACGUAGCCGACCUGAGAGGGUAAUCGGCCACAUUGGGACUGAGACACGGCCCAAACUCCUACGGGAGGCAGCAGUAGGGAAUCUUCCACAAUGGACGAAAGUCUGAUGGAGCAACGCCGCGUGAGUGAAGAAGGGUUUCGGCUCGUAAAACUCUGUUGUUAAAGAAGAACAUAUCUGAGAGUAACUGUUCAGGUAUUGACGGUAUUUAACCAGAAAGCCACGGCUAACUACGUGCCAGCAGCCGCGGUAAUACGUAGGUGGCAAGCGUUGUCCGGAUUUAUUGGGCGUAAAGCGAGCGCAGGCGGUUUUUUAAGUCUGAUGUGAAAGCCUUCGGCUCAACCGAAGAAGUGCAUCGGAAACUGGGAAACUUGAGUGCAGAAGAGGACAGUGGAACUCCAUGUGUAGCGGUGAAAUGCGUAGAUAUAUGGAAGAACACCAGUGGCGAAGGCGGCUGUCUGGUCUGUAACUGACGCUGAGGCUCGAAAGUAUGGGUAGCAAACAGGAUUAGAUACCCUGGUAGUCCAUACCGUAAACGAUGAAUGCUAAGUGUUGGAGGGUUUCCGCCCUUCAGUGCUGCAGCUAACGCAUUAAGCAUUCCGCCUGGGGAGUACGGCCGCAAGGCUGAAACUCAAAGGAAUUGACGGGGGCCCGCACAAGCGGUGGAGCAUGUGGUUUAAUUCGAAGCUACGCGAAGAACCUUACCAGGUCUUGACAUACUAUGCAAAUCUAAGAGAUUAGACGUUCCCUUCGGGGACAUGGAUACAGGUGGUGCAUGGUUGUCGUCAGCUCGUGUCGUGAGAUGUUGGGUUAAGUCCCGCAACGAGCGCAACCCUUAUUAUCAGUUGCCAGCAUUAAGUUGGGCACUCUGGUGAGACUGCCGGUGACAAACCGGAGGAAGGUGGGGAUGACGUCAAAUCAUCAUGCCCCUUAUGACCUGGGCUACACACGUGCUACAAUGGAUGGUACAACGAGUUGCGAACUCGCGAGAGUAAGCUAAUCUCUUAAAGCCAUUCUCAGUUCGGAUUGUAGGCUGCAACUCGCCUACAUGAAGUCGGAAUCGCUAGUAAUCGCGGAUCAGCAUGCCGCGGUGAAUACGUUCCCGGGCCUUGUACACACCGCCCGUCACACCAUGAGAGUUUGUAACACCCAAAGUCGGUGGGGUAACCUUUUAGGAACCAGCCGCCUAAGG
rnacentral:rRNA from 1 species